CCUACGGGAGGCAGCAGUGAGGCAUAUUGGUCAAUGGCCGGAAGUCUGAACCAGCCAAGUCGCGUGAGGGAAUAAGGCCCUAUGGGUCGUAAACCUCUUUUGUCCGGGAGCAAAGGCGUCCACGUGUGGACGAGAGUAGAGUACCUGAAGAAAAAGCAUCGGCUAACUCCGUGCCAGCAGCCGCGGUAAUACGGAGGAUGCGAGCGUUAUCCGGCUUUAUUGGGUUUAAAGGGUGCGUAGGCGGAGUGUCAAGUCAGCGGUAAAAUUUCGGGGCUCAACCCCGUCGUGCCGUUGAAACUGACGCCCUUGAGUGAGUGAGAAGUAAGCGGAAUGCGUGGUGUAGCGGUGAAAUGCAGAGAUAUCACGCAGAACGCCGAUUGCGAAGGCAGCUUACCGGAGCGCAACUGACGCUGAGGCACGAAAGUGUGGGUAUCGAACAGGAUUAGAUACCCCUGUAGUC
rnacentral:rRNA from 1 species